rnacentral:tRNA from 1 species
GCGACGCCAGUGAGAAAGAUCAUCUCGGAUCGCAUCCACUCUUUCCAUUGCUGGAAGAGUGUCAUCAGUAUAGUUUAAAAGCUC